UUAGAAUCUAAGUCCGUUUUGGAAAUGGAAGUUUGACUGAAAUGCGUGAUUUAAGAUCCUCGCCAAGUCGCCAUCUUCAUCGUUCGUAGCGACUGAGUUGAUUGAGAGAGGGAUUAGUGGUGCAGAUUACACUGAUAGGAAAUGGCGGCGAUUACUUUCGACUACAUGCCUAGAGUCAAACAUAACAGUAAUGGCGUCCAUUUGGUUCCGAGAAAUAAGAAUCUACGGCAUUGUCUUGUACGCUCGAAUUCAAACUUGUUUGGGCACAAACUUGCUGCCGGUUAUGAACCGCUCUCAUUUUCGGCUUCAACCGAGAAAGCUCGGAGGAGUGGAUACGUGCCGCCGCUUCGUGUUGCCGGUUCGAAGCAGAGUUCCGCGUCCUGCUCCUUCGAUGUUGUGAUAAUCGGUGCCGGAAUCAUCGGUUUGUCCAUCGCGCGCCACUUCCUUCUCGGAUCGGAUCUCUCCGUUGCCGUGAUUGAUGCCGCUGUGCCUUGCUCCGGCGCUACUGGGGCAGGGCAAGGCUACGUGUGGAAAAUUAACAAAGUACCGGAGAGUGAUAAAUGGGAACUGGUAAUGAGAAGCCAUCAACUUUGGGAGAUCCUUGCCAAGAACAUUGAACUUGAAGGCAUGGAUCCUUCAGAGAUAUUUGGAUGGAAGAAGACAGGAAGCUUGUUAAUUGGUAGAACUUCUGAGGAAUCCUCUAUCUUGAGAAGGAAGAUCAAGCAGCUAUCUGAUGCGGGUGUCAGAGCAGAAUUCUUGACAAGAAAUGACUUGCUCUCUGAAGAACCUGCACUUCUGCUUGAAAAGGAAGGCGGAGCAGCAUAUGUACCGGAUGACUGCCAAUUGGAUGCUCGACGUGCGGUUGCAUUUAUUGAGAAGGGUAAUAGGGUUUUUGCUGCAGAAGGUAGAUAUGCAGAGUUCUAUCAUGAGCCUGCUACUUCCUUAUUAAGGUCUGCUAACACCGGGGAAGUUGAAGCAGUUCAGACUUCCAAGACCAUUUUGCAUAGUAAGAAGGCUGUUAUACUUGCAGCCGGUUGUUGGAGUGGUUCUUUGAUACAUGAUCUGAUUAAGCAUCACAAUAUUGAAGUGGAUCUCCCUGUCAAGCCUCGAAAGGGUCACCUACUUGUGAUAGAGAACUUUAAGCCCUUUAAGCUGAAUCAUGGUCUUAUGGAGGCUGGGUAUGUCAACCAUCAAUCUGCUAUUCUGAAAUCUGCACCUAAUUCAGGAUCCAUUUAUGAUGCACAAUGUACAUCCGUCUCAAUGACAGCCACUAUGGACACGUCUGGUGGUCUUGUUCUUGGUAGCAGCCGACAACUUGUUGGCUUUAGCACUGAGGUGGAUGAAUCUAUCAUCGACCGGAUAUGGGAGCGGGCUGGAGAGUUUUUUCCUUUGCUGAGAAAAGAAUCUCUAAUAGAUCUGCAACAAAACAGAGAAGUGAGAGUGGGACUGAGACCCUACUUGCCUGAUGGGAAGCCGGCGAUUGGACCUGUACCUGGAUUCUCAAAUCUGUUUGUGGCAGCUGGCCAUGAAGGAGAAGGACUUACACUGGCUCCCGGAACUGCUGAAAUGAUUGUUGAUAUGGUGCUGGGGAAUCCUUGGAAAGUUGAUCCAGCUCCAUUUGCUGUGCAAGCUCGUUUUCAUUCAUGAAUUUGCACUGCAGAGUUUUCAAAGGAUCAUAAUGGCUUCCUUCUCUGUCCUUCCCGGCUACCAUUAUCAGGAUUUUUUUAUAAGAUUUAUACACCCAUAUACCUACGGCAGGAGGAAAAUACAUAAAAUAGUUGGGCUGAGCCGCUCGCCUUUCCAGUUUUUGAAUUCUAGGCUUCCUGUUGGCCGCCGGCAGCGGCGGCGGCAUCGGGGCCACUAGCACGGCUAACAUAUACGGUGAUGGACACAAAAACGUAGAUGAUUAUUCCGGUCAACGACAACGGGAUCAAGAACGCAACACUCACAAGGGUGGACGCAGCCAUGCAAGAAAGCACUCCCAGCCUCAACUCGACCACAUACACCACAGACACCAGCAAGAACAAGCACCCCACCAUCGACGACAUCGCCGAGAAGAGGACUCCCGUCGUCAACCAAAACGACGACUCCGGGGAGCCAUCAUCCUCUCCGGCGGCCUGGAGAUCCAGCGACAGCUUGGUCGAGAGGGCGACGAGGGAGGAUAAGAGGUAGAAGCUGAAGGAGAUGAUCUCGAAGACGACGAGCAUCUUGGCGGUGUUGGCUCCCGGCUGGCACUCCUCCCGGACGUUAAGGCUCUGCAACUCCUCCGGCGAGACCAGAUCAUAAUCCAGCCCCAAAAACAUGGCAAUGGUGAACAGUGAGUUCACAUCCACCACACUGUCCAGUGCCGUCACGUGCACGUUCUUCUUGGUAGGAUGGCCUUUUCUGCAUC